UUUUUUUUUUUUUCCUUUUCUAAUUGGCUCCAUGCCCUGCCUGGAGCGUAACAUCAGGCUGGAAGUCACAACUCUGAGGUCAGGGUCUGAGCUGAAAUAAAGAGUCUGAUGCUCAACUGACUGAGCCACUCUGAUACCCCCUCCUCUUUGCUUCAUGACUUUCUAGAUUCCACAUAUAAGUGAGAUCAUGCAUUUCACCUUGCAUAAUGUCCUACAAAGUCAUGCCUGUUGUCCAAUGUCAGGAUCUCCUUCUUUGCUAAGGCUGAAUAUUGUAUACACACACCACACUUUCACUAUCCAUUCAUCUGUUGACGAAACAGGUUGUUUCCAUAAUUUGGCUACUAUGAAUAAUGCUGCAAUGAACAUGGGAAUGCAUAUGUCUUACAGGUACUGAACUUAUAUUCUGUGAAUGUAUAAUCAGAAGGUGGUUUGCUCAACUAUAUGGUUAGUUUCAUUUUUAGUUUUUGGAGGAAUCUCCAUACUGUUUACCACAAUGGCUAUACCAACAUACAUUCCCACUGGCAGAGUACAAAUGUUCAUUUCCUUCAUGUCCUUACCAACCAACACUUGUUUCCUGUUUUUUUUUUUAAGAUUUUCAAAUAUUAUUAACUGAUUUAGGAAAAACACUACCUAUAAUCUUAAGUGCUAUUGUUGAAAGACAACUCUGAAUUCUAUCACUUUAAAUUCAUUUCUGAGAGUAAUUAGUAGAAAUUCACCUUGCAACAAUUUGCUUUUAGAAUGAGGUUCAGUAAACACGACAUAUAUGCAACUUUAUCUCUUUUGAGGAUUUUCAUUUAUUUGACAGAGAGAGAGAGAGACAGAUACAGCACAAGCAGGGGAAGCAGCAGAGGAAGGGGGAGAAGCAGACUCCCCAUUGAGCAGGGAGCCUGACUUGGGGCUCGAUCCCAGGACCCUGGGAUCAUGACCUGAGCCAAAGGCAGAUGUUUAACUGAUGAGGCACCCAGGUACCCCUAUAUGCAACUUUAAUAACAACUCUUCCAGGGCAGCCCUGUUGGCUCAGUGGUUUAGCACUGCCUUCGGCCCAGGGCGUGAUCCUGGAGACCUGGGAUCGGGUCCCAUGGAGACCUGGGAUUGGGUCCCAUAUCGGGCUCCCUGUAUGGAGCCUGCUUCUCCCUCUGCCUGUGUCUCUGCCUCUCUCUGUGUCUCUCAUGAAUAAAUAAAUAAAAUAUUUUUUUAAAAAAGCAACUCUUCCAUGUUGAAAGUUUUCUGGAACACUAUACAUGAAUUAAUUCCCAUCAAGCUUUCUCAUGUUACUUACAUUUAUAUUUAUUUUCAGUAAGAGUUUUCACAUUUAAGGACAUGGACCAACUGAAGUCUUUCCUACACUGUUUACAUUAGAGGUUUUUAUCCAAGGAGUCCUUUCAUGCCUUCAGUAGGAUCUGGGAAGUUUCCUCCACAUUCUGCACAUUUACACCACGAUGUCUGCAGUGUGUGUGUCCUUUAAUGUUUGCACGAGAAAGUGAAGGCUUACCUACAUUCCUCACAUUCACAGGGUUUCUUUCCAGGGAGUUCUUUCAUGUGCUUAUAAUGAUCUGUAAUCCCUGUAGGCUUUGCCACAGUGCUUACAUUCAGAGUUUCUCUACUGUGUGUCCUUCCAUGUGCUCAAAGUUUGAUGGUAUCUAAAGAUUUUUCCAACAGUUAACAGUAAUAAGGUUUCUCUAGGUUUUUUGUGUGUUCCAGUGAAGUGAAACAACUUAAGACUUUUCCACAUUCCUUAUGUUUAUAAGGUGCAUUUCCUGUGUUUGCUGUCAUGUGUCUUUGAUAGCUUACAUGCCACAUAUAGGUUUUCCCACAUUCCUUACACUACGUGGAUUUUGGAAAAAUAAUGAAAAGAUUCACAAAAAUGGAAGGCUUUCCCACAUUUCUUACAUUCAUAUGGUUUUUCCUCAUUGUGAUCUUUAAAAAAAAAUAUUUAUUUGAGAGAGAGCAUGAGAUUGGGGAGGAGCAGAGAGAGAAGGAGAAUCCUUAAGCAGAGUCUCCACUGAGCAUGGAGCCCAAUGGAAAGCUUGAUCUCACAACCCUGAGAUCAAGACCUGAACAGAUAUCAAGAGUUGGACACUUAACUGAUUGAGCCACCUGGGUGUUUCUUGUGAUCUCUUUCAUGUUUUUGGGAACCUAGAUGAGAAAUGAAACCUUUACCACAGUUCUUACAUUCAUAUGGUUUCUCUUCCUGUGUAAGUCCUUUCAUGGGUUCUCAAAGAAGUGAAACUACUUAAAGCUUUCCC
rnacentral:lncRNA from 1 species